rnacentral:lncRNA from 1 species
GGGCAAGAGACUCCUAUCCAAUAAUUUUUUUUCUUUUUUUUUUCUGCUGGUCAGAAGAAUUCCACCUGCACAAGGUGGAACAGAUAUUCGAAAUUAUAUGUUUGGUAUUGAAUGAAAUAUGAUCAUCGCAUAAUUAGUUGUGUGUAUUCUUACAAAACUCAUAAAAACUAGUUCUAACUUCUAACUUAGUUGUUAACUAAUUAGUAAAAUACAAGCUUAGUUAUUUUCAUGUACAUCUUAAAAAUAAAUAUAAGCUUUUCAUAGGAAAAAUAUGGUAAAAAUUGAUUCCAUGUAUGAUGUAUGUAGAGAGCCAAGGAAAAUACAAUAAGUUUGUUUAGCAAGAAGUUAAUUUGGACAUGAGAAAAGCUUGAAUUUUCUUAGAGCCAGAUACGAGCAUACAUGAUGACGCAUAAUUAACAGAUGCAGAAAACGCUCACUUUCAUGGAGGAAAAUGAAUGAUAAGAAGACAAAUGUUUAAAGCAGGGGGAAAAGAAAAGAAGCCACUUAUUUUCCGGUAAAAAAAAGUUCACUUUCAUGGAGGAUAGCCAAAGACAAAGGCAUUUAAAGCAGUAGAAAGAAGCCACUUCUUAUCUGAAUCUUUUCUUCUACAGGGGAACAGAGGUCCUUUUCAUGGAGAACCCACUUGACUAGACAAUUGCAAAAAAUUGUUUUUCAUUUUUUUUGGCUCAUUAUUAGAAAUUAAAAAGGAUAUAACUUUGUCAAAAUUCAAGUCCAUUUUGUAAUUUGCAUAUAUACGCAUACUACAAAACAAAAUUAGGGUGUAUAGUGGGGGAUUUUACAAAAGAGGUGUGUUGGACUGUUGGCCAACGCAAUAUAGAAUAAGAAUCUGGAAAGUGUAAAUAAUGAAAGAUGCCGGUGACUGUUUAAUUUUUUUGUCUUGGCAGAUACCACGUAGUUUCACAAUCACAACCCUAGUAUCCCCAUGUCCAAAGUCUCCUCCUCGAAUAAUCUCAUCUGUG